UACGAAGGGGGCUAGCGUUGUUCGGAUUUACUGGGCGUAAAGCGCACGUAGGCGGAUUGUUAAGUCAGGGGUGAAAUCCUGGAGCUCAACUCAGAACUGCCUUUGAUACUGGCAAUCUUGAGUCCGGAAGAGGUGAGUGGAACUCCUAGUGUAGAGGUGGAAUUCGUAGAUAUUAGGAAGAACACCAGUGGCGAAAGGCGGCUCACUGGUCCGGUACUGACGCUGAGGUGCGAAAGCGUGGGGAGCAAA
rnacentral:rRNA from 1 species